GAGAAAUUUUGAGUAAAAGAAUUCUAGCACUUCUUUAUUUUACUCCCUUGAGAAACCUUUGGUCAUACAAUGCAUAUGAGAUACAAAAAUAAAGAGAAACGAGGGAAAGCGAUGGUUGUUAAAUAAAAUGAUGAAAGCCAAUCGUGUGUUCACCUUGAGAAAGGGUGAGCGGAGGAUACAACCCCAAAAUGGGGGAGGGGCAUGAUGUCCUUAUUAGAAACAUAUUGUGGCAUGCACAACGUAUAAGUGAUAUGUUGGGCAAAUGAGUAUUCUUGAUGUUGGUGAGUCCUGAAGAGGUGGUAUGCGAGUGCAGUACACCAAUUGGGGAUUAUCAAUACAAAGGAUGCUAGCGUGGGCAAAAGGGGUGCGAAAUUGGCAAAUGACAUUUGCCAAGCAAGUAACAUCAUUUGAGACUUUGGUCGGACAAAAAUGAGACGAUCGAUAUUGAGAAAACAUUAGAAUAUAUGGGGCAAAUGGUAGCCCUAAAGCCAUUGAGAUGGUGAAUGACCCUUGUCGGGUGAUGAGAUAAUACUCGGGAUUGCUUAAAAGACUG
rnacentral:misc_RNA from 1 species